AGAGUUUGAUCCUGGCUCAGAUUGAACGCUGGCGGCAUGCCUUACACAUGCAAGUCGAACGGCAGCAUGAUCUAGCUUGCUAGAUUGAUGGCGAGUGGCGAACGGGUGAGUAAUACAUCGGAACGUGCCCUGUAGUGGGGGAUAACUAGUCGAAAGAUUAGCUAAUACCGCAUACGACCUGAGGGUGAAAGUGGGGGACCGCAAGGCCUCAUGCUAUAGGAGCGGCCGAUGUCUGAUUAGCUAGUUGGUGAGGUAAAGGCUCACCAAGGCGACGAUCAGUAGCUGGUCUGAGAGGACGAUCAGCCACACUGGGACUGAGACACGGCCCAGACUCCUACGGGAGGCAGCAGUGGGGAAUUUUGGACAAUGGGGGCAACCCUGAUCCAGCAAUGCCGCGUGUGUGAAGAAGGCCUUCGGGUUGUAAAGCACUUUUGUCCGGAAAGAAAUCGCACUUACUAAUAUUAGGUGUGGAUGACGGUACCGGAAGAAUAAGGACCGGCUAACUACGUGCCAGCAGCCGCGGUAAUACGUAGGGUCCAAGCGUUAAUCGGAAUUACUGGGCGUAAAGCGUGCGCAGGCGGUUGUGCAAGACCGAUGUGAAAUCCCCGGGCUUAACCUGGGAAUUGCAUUGGUGACUGCACGGCUAGAGUGUGUCAGAGGGGGGUAGAAUUCCACGUGUAGCAGUGAAAUGCGUAGAGAUGUGGAGGAAUACCGAUGGCGAAGGCAGCCCCCUGGGAUAACACUGACGCUCAUGCACGAAAGCGUGGGGAGCAAACAGGAUUAGAUACCCCGGUAGUCC
rnacentral:rRNA from 1 species